AUUGAACGCUGGCGGAAUGCUUUACACAUGCAAGUCGAACGGUAGAGGGGGCAACCCCUCGAGAGUGGCGAACGGGUGAGUAAUAUAUCGGAACGUGCCCAGUCGUGGGGGAUAACGCAGCGAAAGUUACGCUAAUACCGCAUACGAUCUAAGGAUGAAAGCGGGGGAUCGCAAGACCUCGUGCGAUUGGAGCGGCCGAUAUCAGAUUAGGGAGUUGGUGGGGUAAAGGCUCACCAAGCCAACGAUCUGUAGCUGGUCUGAGAGGACGACCAGCCACACUGGAACUGAUACACGGUCCAGGCUCCUACGGGAGGCAGCAGUGGGGAAUUUUGGACAACGGACGCAAGUCUGAUCCAGCCAUUCCGCGUGCAGGAUGAAGGCCCUCGGGUUGUAAACUGCUUUUGUACGGAACGAAAAGGUCUCUCUUAAUACGGGGGACUCAUGACGGUACCGUAAGAGUAAGCACCGGCUAACUACGUGCCAGCAGCCGCCGCCG
rnacentral:rRNA from 1 species